rnacentral:rRNA from 1 species
AAGACCUUGCGCUUUUGGAGCGGCCGAUGCCUGAUUAGCUUGUUGGUAAGGUAAAAGCUUACCAAGGCUUCGAUCAGUAGCUGGUCUGAGAGGACGGCCAGCCACACUGGGACUGAGACACGGCCCAGACUCCUACGGGAGGCAGCAGUGGGGAAUUUUGGACAAUGGGCGCAAGCCUGAUCCAGCCAUGCCGCGUGAGUGAAGAAGGCCUUCGGGUUGUAAAGCUCUUUCAGCCGGGAAGAAAAGGUUGCGACUAAUAAUCGCAAUCCAUGACGGUACCGAAAGAAGAAGCACCGGCUAACUACGUGCCAGCAGCCGCGGUAAUACGUAGGGUGCGAGCGUUAAUCGGAAUUACUGGGCGUAAAGCGUGCGCAGGUGGUUUUGUAAGUCAGAUGUGAAAUCCCCGGGCUUAACCUGGGAACU